AAUAAAAAUUGGCUAGUAUAUAAAUUGAAAAUACCAAAAUGCUUAUACUUUGUAACCCUCGCUAUCGAAAAAUCCGGAAGAGAGAACGGCAAUGGCUUUGAACAACGGCUUAUGGUCGUGUGCUUCCAAGCUCAUCAGCUCAUCUGAAUCAAUUUUCUCCAAGACUGGAGUCUUUUUUAGCUUGCUUAGAUGUGAGAUUUUGGAGUACAUCUAGUCAUAGAGAGAAUUUUCAAAUUUGUAACUAAAGACAAGAUUACAUAUUGGAAUUCCAUGGUUCUGAAUGCGACGAGGAUUUAUAUA